rnacentral:rRNA from 1 species
UUGAACGCUGGCGGCAGGCCUAACACAUGCAAGUCGAGCGGUAGCACAGAGAGCUUGCUCUCGGGUGACGAGCGGCGGACGGGUGAGUAAUGUCUGGGAAACUGCCUGAUGGAGGGGGAUAACUACUGGAAACGGUAGCUAAUACCGCAUAAUGUCGCAAGACCAAAGUGGGGGACCUUCGGGCCUCAUGCCAUCAGAUGUGCCCAGAUGGGAUUAGCUAGUAGGUGGGGUAACGGCUCACCUAGGCGACGAUCCCUAGCUGGUCUGAGAGGAUGACCAGCCACACUGGAACUGAGACACGGUCCAGACUCCUACGGGAGGCAGCAGUGGGGAAUAUUGCACAAUGGGCGCAAGCCUGAUGCAGCCAUGCCGCGUGUGUGAAGAAGGCCUUCGGGUUGUAAAGCACUUUCAGCGGGGAGGAAGGCGGUAAGGUUAAUAACCUCAUCGAUUGACGUUACCCGCAGAAGAAGCACCGGCUAACUCCGUGCCAGCAGCCGCGGUAAUACGGAGGGUGCAAGCGUUAAUCGGAAUUACUGGGCGUAAAGCGCACGCAGGCGGUCUGUCAAGUCGGAUGUGAAAUCCCCGGGCUCAACCUGGGAACUGCAUUCGAAACUGGCAGGCUAGAGUCUUGUAGAGGGGGGUAGAAUUCCAGGUGUAGCGGUGAAAUGCGUAGAGAUCUGGAGGAAUACCGGUGGCGAAGGCGGCCCCCUGGACAAAGACUGACGCUCAGGUGCGAAAGCGUGGGGAGCAAACAGGAUUAGAUACCCUGGUAGUCCACGCCGUAAACGAUGUCGAUUUGGAGGUUGUGCCCUUGAGGCGUGGCUUCCGGAGCUAACGCGUUAAAUCGACCGCCUGGGGAGUACGGCCGCAAGGUUAAAACUCAAAUGAAUUGACGGGGGCCCGCACAAGCGGUGGAGCAUGUGGUUUAAUUCGAUGCAACGCGAAGAACCUUACCUGGUCUUGACAUCCACAGAACUUUCCAGAGAUGGAUUGGUGCCUUCGGGAACUGUGAGACAGGUGCUGCAUGGCUGUCGUCAGCUCGUGUUGUGAAAUGUUGGGUUAAGUCCCGCAACGAGCGCAACCCUUAUCCUUUGUUGCCAGCGGUCCGGCCGGGAACUCAAAGGAGACUGCCAGUGAUAAACUGGAGGAAGGUGGGGAUGACGUCAAGUCAUCAUGGCCCUUACGACCAGGGCUACACACGUGCUACAAUGGCAUAUACAAAGAGAAGCGACCUCGCGAGAGCAAGCGGACCUCAUAAAGUAUGUCGUAGUCCGGAUUGGAGUCUGCAACUCGACUCCAUGAAGUCGGAAUCGCUAGUAAUCGUAGAUCAGAAUGCUACGGUGAAUACGUUCCCGGGCCUUGUACACACCGCCCGUCACACCAUGGGAGUGGGUUGCAAAAGAAGUAGGUAGCUUAACCUUCGGGAGGGCGCUUACCACUUUGUGAUUCAUGACUGGGGUGAAGUCGUAACAAGGUAACCGUAGGG